rnacentral:rRNA from 1 species
AUUGAACGCUGGCGGCAUGCCUUACACAUGCAAGUCGAACGGUAACGGGCCUUCGGGUGCCGACGAGUGGCGAACGGGUGAGUAAUAUAUCGGAACGUACCUUUCAGUGGGGGAUAACGUAGCGAAAGUUACGCUAAUACCGCAUAUUCUGUGAGCAGGAAAGCAGGGGAUCGCAAGACCUUGCGCCGAUUGAGCGGCCGAUAUCAGAUUAGCUAGUUGGUGAGGUAAAGGCUCACCAAGGCUACGAUCUGUAGCGGGUCUGAGAGGAUGAUCCGCCACACUGGAACUGAGACACGGUCCAGACUCCUACGGGAGGCAGCAGUGGGGAAUUUUGGACAAUGGGGGCAACCCUGAUCCAGCCAUGCCGCGUGAGUGAAGAAGGCCUUCGGGUUGUAAAGCUCUUUCGGCCGGGAAGAAAUCGUAUCAGCUAAUACCUGGUGCGGAUGACGGUACCGGCAUAAGAAGCACCGGCUAACUACGUGCCAGCCGCCGCAGUAACAC